CCUCACUUUUCGGGGAAAAAAAGAAGAAGUAUAAUCUCCUUCAUUUUCCUCUGUAUAUAUAGCCCUUUAUCUUCUCACUUCUCUUUGUGGCCUCUAAUGAACAAUACCCCAAGAACAAAGAAGAAGAGUGGUCAUCGUUGCCGCCGGCCGGCGCCAUCAAGAGCGUUGUGACCUGUCCUUAUCGCGCACCACUAUCAGUUGAAGCUGCCAGCGUGAUCUCAACUUCCCUGGUCUCGUAGGAAAGAUCAGAUCAUGUGGCAGCUUCACCUGUUGCUGGGAGCUCGAGAAAACCCUAAUUCCAGAUUCUAGUCUCCGGUCAUGCUGGCGUUCAUCGAGAGGAGGGUUAGCUUUGAGUUAAACUGAAACUCUUCUCUAUCGAGUAGGUCAAAUGUAAAGGCAAAGAAGAUGAUAGAUGCCACUUAAUUAUUGAAAGGAAAUGGAGAUGUCGGCUUAGCGAAGACCAAUCAACGCUCAGGUACAGGGUUGAACAUAAUUAAGUAGCAUUCAUGCUUAAAUGUCUGCAAUCGAAAAAUGCUCGAACAUUAUAUUCGCAGCUAGCCCAUCAACUUUGUUCAAGAGAUUUGAGUAGGUCUGACAAAAGGGUUAACACUUCCAAGCUAGCAUAUACUUAAAGAACAAAAACUUUGAUGCAUUAGAUUGAUUAACCAAGUGAAAUAACCGAAUAUGCAAAUUAUGUGUAACUAGAAUUGUUUUUAUAUUCUUCAUUUUCUUGAGUUUGAUUUGGAUCUGCUAGUCACCUGCAGAAAGUAGACAUUUUGUCCUUGCCCCGUUUUGAAGCUGUGUACUCAGAAUUUUCAAAAACUAACAUCAAGUUAGAUGCUCAGCCAGACUGGUCGGAUCCUGCUUAAGUGGUUAUGUUCAGCGCUUUCUGGUCACACUUGCUAGAUGUUUGCUUUGAUAACACUGAUUUAUCUUUUCGUGAAAGUUGGUGUCUGAACCUCGUAGAAUGCGCGACUAAAUUCAUCAGGUCGCGGUAGUCCUCUUGUCUCCGAGGAUGACUAUGAGAAAGCUGCCUUUUGUUGUUACUGGAAUCGAUUGCCACCCUUUUCCUGCAAUGUUCUUAACCAAUUAAGCUAACUUUUCGAGGCUACUAGAGUAUACUAUUGAUUAAAUGAGAUGGUGGUGAGAAAUAUGGAGACUGCACGGAAUUGGAAUUCACAUAACAUUCACCAUAAUGCCUGACAAUUCACACUGAGUUCUAUGAAUAAUAGGAGAUUUGACUUCACUAUUAUUCUGACACUCACUUUAAUCACGCAUGGGAACUAGGUAGUUUCAAAGCCACACCCGCAUGUGUUCUUGUCCCUAGACCUUUUGUUAGGUUUUAUAUUUAGUCAUCAUAGGAUUAUGAGGGUUCAAAUGUCAGGGCGCCUCGCCUUUUGUUUUGCCCUUUUUUUCCAAAGCAGAGCAUGCUACUGUCACGUACGUACAUAGGGACAGGACAGGGAAACAACCAACAAGUACUGAAGAGGCACCACAUUGAAGUUGCCGAAAGAAGAUGAAAGAAGUGGGAGGUGAAAGAGAUGGAUCAUGCAUCCGCGUGCACGGGUGCCGGUUUUGAAGGGUGUUGACGAGCUGAGCACUCAUCGGGAUUAGCCUCUUUAU